rnacentral:misc_RNA from 1 species
GAUGAAGAACGUAGCGAAAUGCGAUACGUAAUGUGAAUUGCAGAAUUCAGUGAAUCAUCGAGUCUUUGAACGCACAUUGCGCCCCCUGGUAUUCCGGGGGGCAUGCCUGUCCGAGCGUCAUUGCUGCCCUCAAGCACGGCUUGUGUGUUGGGCCUCCGUCCUCCUCCCGGGGGACGGGCCCGAAAGGCAGCGGCGGCACCGCGUCCGGUCCUCGAGCGUAUGGGGCUUCGUCACCCGCUCUUGUAGGCCCGGCCGGCGCUUGCCGACACAUCAAUCUUUUUUCCAGGUUGACCUCGGAUCAGGUAGGGAUACCCGCUUAACUUAAGCAUAUCAAUAAGCGGAGGA